AAUGACUGACAGAAGAAGAGGAAAACCAACAACAAAACACUUGUGGAGUAGAGCAGAGUGUAGCUGGAGCUUUCAACAAAAAAAAAAAAUAUAAAACGAGAAGAGACGUGUGAGACGCACAACGUCACAACUUUUAUACAGGCAGGGGGAGGGCAGAGGCAGGGGCCGAGUGAGGCAGAAGCAGAGUGUGAAUGAGAGAAUGUAAAAAGAACAACAAAAGCUGCGGGACAGGGUGGGUUUAGCCACUGGAUAUUAAUUUCUCCAUUGUUGCUAUAAUAAUGAUCCGAUCGGAUAAAAAUUUGGUGAUCUGAUAGAUAUGUACUGUAGGUUUCGGAGGUUUUUGCCCUUUUGCGGAGGCGGAAGGGGGCGGGGCUAAUUUUUGAAAUACACUGGUUUCAGUGUGAGCAUACAGCAGUCCGGAGCCAACAUUUGGUGGCGGUUGUAAGCAUAUAUUACAUUUUUUGUUGUUUCAAAAUAACAUUAAAUUUAUCAAUAUUGCAGAAAAGAAGAGAACAACAGGUGGCAGGGGGAAAUAGUCAUCGGAGAUGGAGAGCCUGCUGAUAGAUCUCUGGCAGGAGAAUAUUGAAGAUCUGCGUGGAGCCAUGAAGGAGGCUGGGCUCGCGAUUGGAUGGGGAGAUGUUCGAGUGAAAGUCGAAAAUUUGCAAACAAUACGGUGGAGUACCAGCCUUUAUAAUUGUGAUGGUAGACUGCCUCAGCUCCUGGUGGUUUUUUUUCGAUUUGACAUCCAUCUACAAUAAAGGGAAACCCAAUUUACAUAUGUGUGUGCAUAUCUAUAGAUGUAUAAUGAAUUGUUCUAUUGCUUUCUUACCAAUUGCACCUAGACACUGUGGAAAUCCAAUCUGUUCGAAUCCUUGGACACAUUCGUCAAGUCGUUUCACAUCUUUCAAAAAAAUCCAAAGUUCCCCUUGGAGGGACUCAGUGUGAAGAGCCUAUUCUGAAUUAAAUUCAAGUUGUUUCAGUUAUAAUAGUCUUUUCCGAUGUUAACUAUCGCAUUUUUAUUUGUCCAUUUCGAUGAAUUUAAAAAGGUGAGUACUUCUAGAAUCUAGAUCUCAAUUGGAAAAAUGUUUCCCAUAUGAUCUAGAGUUGAUGUUUGGAGUAUGCUGAGUUUUUUUAAUUCGUUGGCUGGUCAAAGCAGAUUACUAUGGGUUCCUAGCGGUAUUUAGCUUACACAUUCAUUUUGAUUAGAAAAAGAUUCGCCGUAAUAAAAUAUACAUUUUGCUUGGAGUUAAGAUGUACAUAUAUCUUCAAACUAUCUCUCUGUACUCUUGUUGCUUAUGCUUGACCAACAUCGUCAUUCUAUGCUUCUUCAUUCGCAUUUUCUGCUUGUUCUGCAAUGAUGUGGAAAAUGAAUAUCGUAAUUUCUAAAGUAACAUUUAUGUUGCGCAUACUCAGUUAUUUGCAAUAUGAAUGAGAAAGCGUUCUCAAGGUUAUGGAACUCUUCCAUGCGUGCUCAUAGAGAUAAAGUUUUGUUGAAUGUGAUACAUCGCAUAUUUAUAUACAUAUGUACAAUGUAUGACAUGUUCUUCGGUUCUUUAUAUUGUAUUAAACAAGCA
rnacentral:lncRNA from 1 species